GCUAAUGCAGCAUAACCUGGCUUUGCCAAAGAUCUAAGCCCUUUUUAUAGAAGUUCAAAUCUUCUCAUUAGCU
rnacentral:tRNA from 1 species